GUCUGUCGUUGACGUCACGGAAGGAAUGUGGUGACGCAGCGCCGCCUUCUGUGACGUCUGCGACUGAGGCUGUGCUCUCAUUUCGAUGACGUCACCGGGCGCGCUUCUCCACGGCCCUGGGCAUUAACGAGGGUGGGUGGGGCGCAGGAGGCCGAGGAUGGGUUCGAUUCCAGGUCUCGGACACGAAGCGACCUCCUCCUCCACCUAGGCGGAUUUUGAAGCUCUGCUGCCGCGCCCUUUCCCGCCUGCCCGCCCCAUCGGGCCGGGAAAGGUCACAGCUUCCGAGGCGACAGCUGCUAUCUCGGUGCUGCAGGCGACACGGCUGCCCCCGGGAAAGGUCUCCUGCUGGCGGGGACUUAAUGAGCUUCAUCAACCGCGGGCGAUAAGCAAAGGGAAUGGAGAGACGUGGGAAAGGUCAAAAGAACACACUGACAAGCGACAGGCAAGCCCAGGAGGUGGGGUGACACGCAGGACAACUGUCCCAGUCUCCAGCAAGUUCUGGAGGCUGGAAGUCCAAAGGAAUCGGCAGUCCACACUCCCUCCACAACCUGUAGGGGAGAGUCCUCCUGGUUCUUCCAGCCCCUGGGGACUCCAGGCUUCCUUGGCCUCUGUCAUCGCAUAGAAUUUUGCAUUCUGUCUGUGUCCUCAACUCUUCUGUCUCUUAUAAAGACACUUGUCCCUGGAUUUAGGUACCUUGGAUAAUCCGGGAUGAUCUCAUUGAAAGGAUCUUAAUUCCAUCUGUGGAGACUGAGACCCUUUAUCCGAAUAAGAGCAGAGUCAUGAGUCCCAAAGGCUAGCAAGGCUCCUCACUUCAGGAAAGGGCUGGCUCCACAAGACAGCAGCAACGCUCUGCUCAGAAACCAACCUCAGGGCUAGCAGGUGGCAUUGGUGGUUAGGGGCACUAGAC